UGAUAGAGUUAGCUUAGAGGUGCAGUAUUCUAGUCAGAGCUUCUAAUUCUGAAGGCGGGGCUAAAAAUCCGCUAAAGGGCACAUCGAUGAAGUUCCUGGUUCUUGCUUGAAACGCCCAGUUUCGGGUUGGUGCUGGGAGUAAGGAUAUGGGGGCAUUCUGCAAUGGCAUGCGGGAAAUGACCCUCAAUCUGUGGAGACUUGCUAUGUGCAAGAUUAAACCUACAUUUGGUCGAAAGGUUAUGUGUAGUGUAGCCUGCCUUGAGUGAUGGCGGUGGACGGUAGUUCAGGGAUCUUUCUAUUGGCCAAUAGGACGGUUCUAUUGCUAAUCAAAACCGGUGUUGCAAAAGAGGCUAGGGAUUAGUUUGCCUGUUGAGGAAAUCUCCUAGGCUGUUAUUUUAUAGAUCGAAAAGGGAUUGGAGUGUGGACUAAGUGGUAGUCUAGUCUUAUAACUGGAAACGGUAUAAAUAAGAAUUUGAAGGGAAACCGCUGUUUUGGCGACAUAACAGUAAACUUAUGGGAAAUCCUACUAGACCUAAGCCGCAGAAUUAACCUUUUUGAUUACCUCUAAGCUUUAUUCACAA
rnacentral:sRNA from 1 species